AGCUCCCUCUCUCUCUCUCACUCGCCAUUAUUUCACUGGGCAACAACAAAUGCUCUGCGUCCUCUCUCUCUAAAUUUCAGCAGUUCUCCCUCCUCAUUCACUCUAGGAAUUUCGGCCAUACUCCCUCCUCUUGCGUGCUCUGCAAACCACAGAGCUUCAUUGAGAAGCUCCCUCUCUCUUGCUGGCCAUUACUUUCCCAGUCGAUUACAAAUGCUUUGCGUACUCUCUCUCCAAAUUUCAGCCGCUCUACCUGCUCAUUCGCUCUAGUAAGCUCGUUGUAGCUGCUAACUUCUCAAGGAGGCAGCACGCUGACAAAAACCCAACCCAAGACGACUCAAGAUUAGGCUGAUUGGUCUCUUAGGUAUUAUGGAGGAUGGACGGCACCUAAAAUAUAUUUAUUGGGCUUUGCUGGAAAGGUCAAAUUUGGAGACAUUCGUAUUGGGGGACUCUGGGAUAUAUAAGGCACGUGAUUACUAUUCAGAUUCGGGAGAAAAGUCUGGGAAGUAAGCCUGCAGCAGAGUUGCUCGUUGUGUGUUUUUCAUGCCGACUGUGAACCUAUCAGCUAUGUAUGCAUCAACCCAUUAAGUGCGACAACCAUAUAACCACUUGAGCUAACUUUGCUCUUGUAAGGACCACAAUUUUCUCCCAGUCCAGCAACCGCACGACAAUGGAGGGUAAGAAAAAGGCCUAGCGCUGUUUUGAGCAUCACCGCGCAUGUUUAAGAGCCUAGCGCUAGUUGCGUAAGAGGAAAACACAGCGCCAGCUAUGUAAGGGGGAAAAGCAAUACCGACUGCAUAAGAGGAGAACACAACGCCAGCAGUGUAAGAGGAAAGCACAGUGCCUGCUGGUAAGAGGAGAGGUAGCGCCAGCUAUGUAAGGAAGACGCAGUGCCGGCUGCGCUUGGGAGCCCAUCGCCGACUGUGACCCAACGCCUUCUGUGGAAUGAGAGCAAGAAAGGGCAGUGUCGGGAGUGUCUUGAUCAAACAUAUGGCCGCCAUCUGUGUCAGUGCCGCUCCGUACGUGUCAGAUCCACGCGUGAUUGCAUCACCCACAGUGAAUCCCACCAACCGUGGGUACUUAAGCCCUCCCCCUUUCCUUUGACGACUCGUUCCCUCAUUCUACCUUAUUCUCUCUCUCCCCCUAAGGAGCUCACUGUCGUCCCUUGAAGACAACCAACGGGUGACGGUGGAGGAGGCCAGAGAAAGCUGCUGAAGGAGAUUGAAGACACCGUGAGAGUCAUGGUGGUGGAUAUUGUUAUGUUACCACUUGCUAUACGAUGGGACACUCAUCGGUAGUAAGGAA